rnacentral:rRNA from 1 species
AUUUGUCUGGUUAAUUCCGUNAANGAACGAGACCCCCGCCUGCUAAAUAGUGUGGCUUACGCUUUUGCGUAGGUGCUCGCUUCUUAGAGGGACUUCUGGUGACUAACCAGAGGAAGUUGGGGGCAAUAACAGGUCUGUGAUGCCCUUAGAUGUCCUGGGCCGCACGCGCGCUACACUGAUGCAUGCAACGAGUUAUAUUUUUCCUAGGUCGAGAGGCCUGGGUAAUCUUUUGAACGUGCAUCGUGAUAGGGAUAGAUCAUUGCAAUUAUUGAUCUUGAACGAGGAAUUCCUAGUAAACGCGAGUCAUCAGCUCGCAUUGAUUACGUCCCUGCCCUUUGUACACACCGCCCGUCGCACCUACCGAUUGAAUCAUUCGGUGAGGAUCUCGGAUUUUGUUUUUUACGCUUCACGGCGUUUCAGACGAGAGAAGUCAUCCAAACCUCAUGAUUUAG